ensembl:miRNA
AAAAGGGAAGAUGGUGACCACGUAGGAGGGGCAGCUGCCUUUCCAACAGGGGACUCUUGCCAGCC